CGCAGGUGCUGCCGUGCCCGUCGGAUCGUCCCUCUGCGCGGCCUGUGCGCCUCCAUGAGACCGUUGCUGAGGGGGGAAGCAGGGAUCGCUUGGGGCAGACCCAUGGAGCGGCAUUGCAAGGAGGGACUUGUUCAUUGUGCAGUCCUAUAUACAAAAACAAUCAGUACCUGAGAAGCAGAACAGUGGGGUUAAUGUGAAGCCUUGCAAAGCUUCCCUAGUCUCUGGCACUAUCCUGCAGAAGAGCUGGGACCAGAAAAUCUGUUUCCUUCCCAGGCAACACACUUGGGGUACCUUCAUCAUGAUCCCUUCUUGGGAUGGCUGAAGCAGGAGGCAUGGAAACAAAACCAGCAGCAGACAGGGGCUUAAUUGUUGCCUUUAAUAAUGACUCUUAUACCAGGUACUGCUGAUAAUCUGCAAAGAAGGAGGGCACCGGGCUCUGAUAGCAAGUAUCUGCACCAGGAUGCCACCAGCCUUACCAUGUCCAACUCAGCUCUAGUGUGUGAAGGAAGGGAGCCUUCAGAGAAGAGCAAAUAGACCACCCUGAAUCUAGAUGAAGUAUGUCAAAGACCAGCAAGUGAAUGAGAUCAGUUCUUGUCAGGCAAGAGUUUUUGUUAAGGCUGAGUUGAGAAAACAUGCUUUAAGUUGCAGGAGGGGAGCUACAAAUGUCCACCAGCGAAGCAAAAUCACAGGCAUAUGGGAUCAGGCAGCAAUCUCUUCAUAUGCCAUUAGCAAGGCUGAGCCUGGCUUUUCCAUUGGAAAUAAAAUAAAAGUGUUCUGGGAAUGAUGGUGUUUAUUCCAUAGGUCUUGACUUUGUGGUAGUGGCUGCCUUCCCUU